GUUGACCUCGGAUCAGGUAGGGAUACCCGCUGAACUUAAGCAUAUCUAA
rnacentral:rRNA from 1 species